AAAAUAACAAUUAGGAAUUUAGGAUUUAGGGUUUGGGGUUUGAAAUUUGUAUUAAAAAUAAAUAAAUAUUUAAAAAAAAAAAAUAAUUUAAGUUUGCCGCCACUAAAAUUCUUUCCUUUGCCUCAAAUAUUUGAUCAUCCUGCCCAUAUCCCUAAAAUUGUGGAGCCUCUACACGCUACUCUUCUACUACCCCCAGCGAUGAAACUCCAAUAAACCUAAAAGAUCUAAAAUUUCACGGCUUCUCUUCCAUUGCCCAUCACUCUCUCUCUCUCGCGUGUGCCUCCAUUCCAGAUCUGCUCGGAAACAAAAAUUGAAAGAAGUUUGGCAGUUGAGCAAUAGUACAAGAGCCUUGCAUCGAUUCUAUGAUUGGUCUUGUUUAGGAUUUGAGUCAUGCCAAAGAAAGGAAAAGGACAUAAAAGGGCAGCAAGCACUUUACAUCUCGAGUCUUCCACACGUUCACAGUCUGAAGACAUUCCCAAUGAAUCAACACAUGGUGACAAAGAGGUGGAAGGGCUGGAAACUGAGGCUACCAAGAGGAAAGGUAGAGGCCCUGCCAAAGGAGAAAAAGGCUAUGGCAUGAAUGCAGAGAUUUAUGGAAAGAGGACGAGACAUUGAGGAAUGCAGUUGCAAAGUUUAAGGGGAAGAAAUGAAGACAAUAGGUUUGUCUUUGUUUAUUCAAUCAUGCUUAAGUGGAGAUUCUAGUUACUAACUUCAGUAGGUAUUGGGCUUUUAGGUGGCAAUUAGUUUGCUUAGACAUGUUUGACAAAU